UUAGGUUAAGUUAUGAAGGGCGCAUGGUGAAUGCCUUGGUACUAGGAGCCGAUGAAGGACGGGACUAACACCGAUAUGCUUCGGGGAGCGGUAAGUACGCUUUGAUCCGGAGAUUUCCGAAUGGGGCAACCCAAUCAGUUUAGUCGCUGAUUACUUGACUAGUGAAUACAUAGCUAGCAAGAGGUAGACGCAGUGAACUGAAACAUCUUAGUAGCUGCAGGAAGAGAAAGAAACAUCGAUUCCCUGAGUAGCGGCGAGCGAAAAGGGAAGAGCCCAAACCAACAAGCUUGCUUGUUGGGGUUGUAGGACUGAACAUUAGAGUUACCAAAGUGCGACGUAGUCGCAACAGUUGGGAAGCUGUGCCAUAGAGGGUGAAAGCCCCGUAGACGAAACGUCACACUCUCUGUUCAGGAUCCUGAGUACGGCGGGACACGUGAAACCCCGUCGGAACCUGCGAGGACCAUCUCGCAAGGCUAAAUACUCCCUAGUGACCGAUAGUGAACCAGUACCGUGAGGGAAAGGGGAAAAGCACCCCGGAAGGGGAGUGAA
rnacentral:rRNA from 2 species